UACAGAGGGUGCGAGCGUUAAUCGGAAUUACUGGGCGUAAAGCGUGCGUAGACGGUUAUUUAAGUCGGGUGUGAAAGCCCCGGGCUCAACCUGGGAAUUGCAUUCGAGACUGAAUAGCUAGGGUACGGUAGAGGGAAGCGGAAUUUCCGGUGUAGCGGUGAAAUGCGUAGAUAUCGGGAGGAACAUCAGUGGCGAAGGCGGCCCUCUGGUCCAGUACUGACACUCAAGUGCGAAAGC
rnacentral:rRNA from 1 species